GUGAGCUUGGGGAGUUUAAUUGGCAAUUUGUGACCUGUGUUGUUCACUUCCGAUUUACCAACAUGCCACGAAGACGUCUGGCGUUCGACGAUUCGGCUCCCCCUUGCUGUAUGCCUCACCCUGCCAAGAUGCGUCACAUGACGACACCUCACACCAGCUUGGGUGGGGAGUGCCGGGGUACGUCACAUCCAUUGAGUGACGCUGACGUGGAGAGUGGAUCACGUGACUGUCGUGGGCACGUGACCCCACAACGUAACACCUGCCCGGGUUACUGUGAGUUGGAGGAGGAUUUCACUGACAGUGGCAUCGACUCCCCCGAGAGCACAGCCA